rnacentral:rRNA from 1 species
GAUGAACGCUAGCGGCAGGCUUAACACAUGCAAGUCGAGGGGUAGAGGCUUUCGGGCCUUGAGACCGGCGCACGGGUGCGUAACGCGUAUGCAAUCUGCCUUGUACUGGGGGAUAGCCCAGAGAAAUUUGGAUUAAUACCCCAUAGUAUUUUCGGUUGGCAUCAACUGAUUAUUAAAGUUUUUCGGUACAAGAUGAGCAUGCGUCCCAUUAGCUAGUUGGUAUGGUAACGGCAUACCAAGGCUACGAUGGGUAGGGGUCCUGAGAGGGAGAUCCCCCACACUGGUACUGAGACACGGACCAGACUCCUACGGGAGGCAGCAGUGAGGAAUAUUGGUCAAUGGUCGCAAGACUGAACCAGCCAUGCCGCGUGCAGGAUGAAGCAUCUAUGGUGUGUAAACUGCUUUUGUACGGGAAGAAACACUCCUACGUGUAGGGGCUUGACGGUACCGUAAGAAUAAGGAUCGGCUAACUCCGUGCCAGCAGCCGCAGUAA